rnacentral:rRNA from 1 species
GGUUAACGCUGGCGGCGUGCCUAACACAUGCAAGUCGAACGGUUCUAAGCGCGAGCUUAGGAUAGUGGCGAACGGGUGAGUAAAAGGUAGGAAUCUACCCCUUGGACGGAGAUAGCUACUGGAAACGGUAGGUAAACUUCGAUAAGCCCGAGAGGGGAAAGUGGUGAGACAGCCGAGGGAUGAGCCUACUCUCCAUCAGGUAGUUGGUGAGAUAAAAGCUUACCAAGCCGAUGACGGAUAACCGGUGUGAGAGCAUGAACGGUCACAAGGGCACUGAGAGACGGGCCCUACUCCUACGGGAGGCAGCAGUGGGGAAUCUUGGACAAUGGGCGAAAGCCUGAUCCAGCGACGCCGCGUGGAGGAAGAAGUCCUUCGGGUUGUAAACCUCUGUCAUGGGGAAGAAGGAAGUGACGGUACCCCAACGAGGAAGCCCCUGCUAACUACGUG